rnacentral:rRNA from 1 species
GAUGAACGCUGGCGGCGUGCCUAAUACAUGCAAGUCGAGCGAACGGACGAGAAGCUUGCUUCUCUGAUGUUAGCGGCGGACGGGUGAGUAACACGUGGAUAACCUACCUAUAAGACUGGGAUAACUUCGGGAAACCGGAGCUAAUACCGGAUAAUAUUUUGAACCGCAUGGUUCAAAAGUGAAAGACGGUCUUGCUGUCACUUAUAGAUGGAUCCGCGCUGCAUUAGCUAGUUGGUAAGGUAACGGCUUACCAAGGCAACGAUGCAUAGCCGACCUGAGAGGGGGAUCAGCCACACUGGAACUGAGACACGGUCCAGACUCCUACGGGAGGCAGCAGUAGGGAAUCUUCCGCAAUGGGCGCAAGCCUGACGGAGCCACGCCGCGUGGGUGAUGAAGGUCUUCGGAUCGUAAAACUCUGUUAUUAGGGAAGAACAUAUGUGUAAGUAACUGUGCACAUCUUGACGGUACCUAAUCAGAGAGCCACGGCUAACUACGUG